AGUGAACGCUGGCGGUAGGCCUAACACAUGCAAGUCGAACGGCAGCACAGUAAGAUCUUGCUCUUACGGGUGGCGAGUGGCGGACGGGUGAGGAAUACAUCGGAAUCUACUCUUUCGUGGGGGCUAACGUAGGGAAACUUACGCUAAUACCCCAUACGACCUACGGGUGAAAGCAGGUGAUCUUCGGACUUUGCGCGAUUGAAUCAGCCGAUCUCGGAUUAGCUAGUUGGCGGGGUAAAGGCCCACCAAGGCGACGAACCGUAGCCGGUCUGAGAGGAUGAUCGGCCACACUGGAACUGGGACGCGGUCCAGACUCCUACGGGAGGCAGCAGUGGGGAAUAUUGGACAAUGGGGGGAAGCCUGAUCCAGCCAUACCGCGUGGGUGAAGGAGGCCUUCGGGUUGUAAAGCCCUUUUGUUGGGAAAGAAAAGCAGCAGGUUAAUAACCCGCUGUUCUGACGGUACCCAAAGAAUAAGCACCGGCUAACUUCGUG
rnacentral:rRNA from 1 species